UACGGAGGGGGCUAGCGUUGUUCGGAUUUAUUGGGCGUAAAGAGCGUGUAGGCGGUUAGGUAGGUCCGUUGUGAAAACUCGAGGCUCAACCUCGAGACGCCGAUGGAAACCAUCUAACUAGAGUCCGGAAGAGGAGAGUGGAAUUCCUGGUGUAGCGGUGAAAUGCGCAGAUAUCAGGAAGAACACCCGUGGCUAAGGCGGCUCUCUAGUACGGUACUGACGCUGAGACGCGAAAGCGUGGGGAGCGAACAGG
rnacentral:rRNA from 1 species